GACGAACGCUGGCGGCGUGCUUAACACAUGCAAGUCGAACGGAAAGGCCCUGCUUUUGUGGGGUGCUCGAGUGGCGAACGGGUGAGUAACACGUGAGUAACCUGCCCUUGACUUUGGGAUAACUUCAGGAAACUGGGGCUAAUACCGGAUAGGAUCUCCUGCUGCAUGGUGGGGGUUGGAAAGUUUCGGCGGUUGGGGAUGGACUCGCGGCUUAUCAGCUUGUUGGUGGGGUAGUGGCUUACCAAGGCUUUGACGGGUAGCCGGCCUGAGAGGGUGACCGGCCACAUUGGGACUGAGAUACGGCCCAGACUCCUACGGGAGGCAGCAGUGGGGAAUAUUGCACAAUGGGCGGAAGCCUGAUGCAGCAACGCCGCGUGCGGGAUGACGGCCUUCGGGUUGUAAACCGCAUUCGCCUGUGACGAAGCGUGAGUGACGGUAAUGGGUAAAGAAGCACCGGCUAACUACGUG
rnacentral:rRNA from 1 species